rnacentral:piRNA from 1 species
UGUAUAGGCAUAAGAUGGUAAAUAUAAAAG